ACAGUCCACAUUCACAUUUUCCCAACUAUCCCCCAGCUGUCACUUUUACAGCUAUUUUUCUCCCAGGAUCCAAUCAAAGAUCAUGCAAUGACUCUUCCAUAUGAGACCCUAAGAAAGAACUGCUCAGCUGAGCCCAGUCAACUUACAAGAGUAACUGUUGCUACAUGGAUUUAAGACCACCGUAACAAUAGCAGUCAAGGGACCCUAUUUCAGAGUUACAUUUUUCUCUGUGGAAAUACCUGCCUUAAUGCCAUUGGAAUACAGACAGAAGGACUACAUUUCACUUUAACUGUUGCAUCUCAUGGAUAUUGCUGUACUGUAUUUCAAGAGUUGUCUCCAGUA